UCCAGGGUAGCCUAGUGGACAUGGCAUCUGCCCGGUAAGCUGAACACUGUGGGUUCGAUUCCCAUCCUUUGGAC